rnacentral:rRNA from 1 species
UAAGGAAUAUUGGUCAAUGGACGCAAGUCUGAACCAGCCAUGCCGCGUGAAGGAUGAAGGUCCUCUGGAUUGUAAACUUCUUUUAUUUGGGACGAAAACGGGAUUUUUAUCUCAAUUGACGGUACCAGAGGAAUAAGCACCGGCUAACUCCGUGCCAGCAGCCGCGGUAAUACGGAGGGUGCGAGCGUUAUCCGGAUUUACUGGGUUUAAAGGGUGCGUAGGUGGGCUUAUAAGUCAGUGGUGAAGUCUCCGAGCUUAACUUGGAAACUGCCGUUGAUACUAUAGGUCUUGAAUUAUCUGGAGGUAAGCGGAAUAUGUCAUGUAGCGGUGAAAUGCUUAGAUAUGACAUAGAACACCAAUUGCGAAGGCAGCUUACUACAUAUAAAUUGACGCUGAGGCACGAAAGCGUGGGGAUCAAACA